rnacentral:rRNA from 1 species
AUUGAACGCUGGCGGCAUGCCUUACACAUGCAAGUCGAACGGUAACAGGUUAAGCUGACGAGUGGCGAACGGGUGAGUAAUGCAUCGGAACGUGCCCGAUCGUGGGGGAUAACGCAGCGAAAGCUGCGCUAAUACCGCAUACGAUCUGAGGAUGAAAGCGGGGGACCGUAAGGCCUCGCGCGAUCGGAGCGGCCGAUGUCAGAUUAGGUAGUUGGUGGGGUAAAGGCCCACCAAGCCGACGAUCUGUAGCUGGUCUGAGAGGACGACCAGCCACACUGGGACUGAGACACGGCCCAGACUCCUACGGGAGGCAGCAGUGGGGAAUUUUGGACAAUGGGCGAAAGCCUGAUCCAGCAAUGCCGCGUGCAGGAAGAAGGCCUUCGGGUUGUAAACUGCUUUUGUACGGAGCGAAAAGGUCCUUUCUAAUACAAGGGGCUCAUGACGGUACCGUAAGAAUAAGCACCGGUUAACUACGUGCCAGCCGCCGCGGUAA